rnacentral:lncRNA from 10 species
CAUGAAUGCACCACUGCACUCCAGCCUGGGUGACAGAGCAAGACUCUGUCUCAAAAAAACAAAAAACAAGAAUCAACCUAACCUCCAGGCCCCUCAGGUGGAAAGGCCAAGGGAAUCCAUCCAGGUAUAGCCCAAGGCUCUGAGUCCGGGAAAGGAUGGGGUAGUUUGUAGGGCAAAGGUCCUUCUGCCUCUGACCUGGUUCCUGGAUAGCUUUGCCAAGAGGGGCCAGGUCAGGUCUCUCACGGGAGGGAUCAGCAGCCCCUCACUCUUCAAUGAUCACAUUCAAAAUCUACGUGGGGGGUUGUGUUGAGAUCUCAAAGGGGAGAAGGAGGAAGCCUCCAUGCACUCCAGGGGGAACGGAGACCCUCAACCUUGUUCCAUCUCCCCUUCCUUCCUGCCCCAAACCCAAGCAGCUGCAACAUUCCACUCCACGCCCAGCAGGCACGGGGUCCGGCUAGGAUUCUGUUUCUUGGGAGAGACGGGCCACGGGACUGCGUCCUGGUUUUCAGGGGCCUGGGGCGCCUGACUCUACCACCCGCGCUGUGGAGGCCGAGGCAAGGCUCGCCUGCAGAUAUGGGCUUGUGUUUGUUCUGUUCCUGGAAGACAUGCGCUGCCACCGAGUCACUGGGCUUUUGACUCAGCUGUGUUUCCUCCUGCAGAUGAACCCAAACCCAGGCUUUGGAGUCAGCAGAGCCAGCUGGGGCAUCAGCCUCCCACUGGCGUCUGUGUGACUUUGGGCAAUUCUCUUGACCUCUCUGAGCUUCGGUUUUCGGUCUCUCUGAAAUGGGAGGAACCAACUAGACCAGCGUCUCAAUCCCUGGACUCAAGCCUUGGACAUCUCAAGUGGAAUGUCAGCGUGGUACAGGCAGUGGUUGCUGUCCAUUUCUUCUCUGCUGUGUCCCCAGUGCCCAGAACAGUACCUGGGACAUAGCUGGCAUUCAGUAAAUAUUUAUAAAAUGGAUGGAUGGAACUGGGCACGGUAGCUCGCAUCUGUAAUCCCAGCACUUCGGGAGGCCAAGGCAGGCGGAUCACUUGAGGUCCGGAGUUCGAGAGCAGCCUGAUGAACAUGGUGAAACCCCAUCUCUAAUGAAAAUACAAAAAUUAACCAGGUGUGGUGGUGCACGCCUGUAAUCCCAGC